AAAACUCUAAUACUAAUUGAUCAUUUUUUAAAUAUAUUUUUAGAUCUUAAUAUUAUGAUUUUCACAAUUAUAUAAAUUUCUACGGAAAAGUAAUAAAACGUACAUGGAUUAAUGAUGUUCAUUCUUGUUAGGUUCUGUAUUUUUAUUUGAAUUUUUUUUUUCUUUUCAUUCUUCCCUUUAAUACUUAAAAUGAAAAUCUUGAUUGUCAUUAUUUGCAAUAUUGAUAAGAUUGUUAAAAAAAU
rnacentral:lncRNA from 1 species